GACGAACGCUGGCGGCGUGCUUAACACAUGCAAGUCGAACGGAAAGGCCCCUUUGGGGUUACUCGAGUGGCGAACGGGUGAGUAACACGUGAGUAACCUGCCCUUGACUUCGGGAUAACUUCAGGAAACUGGGGCUAAUACCGGAUAGGAAUCCUUGCUGCAUGGUGGGGGUUGGAAAGCUUCGGCGGUUUUGGAUGGACUCGCGGCUUAUCAGCUUGUUGGUGGGGUAGUGGCUUACCAAGGCUUUGACGGGUAGCCGGCCUGAGAGGGCGACCGGCCACAUUGGGACUGAGAUACGGCCCAGACUCCUACGGGAGGCAGCAGUGGGGAAUAUUGCACAAUGGGCGGAAGCCUGAUGCAGCAACGCCGCGUGCGGGAUGACGGCCUUCGGGUUGUAAACCGCUUUCAGCAGGGGCGAAGCUUUUGUGACGGUACCUGCAGAAGAAGCACCGGCUAACUACGUG
rnacentral:rRNA from 1 species